AAGUAAAAAGUAAAAAUUAUAAUAAAUAUAAAAAAUUAAUCAUUAAAACAACAAUUUAGUAGUUUUUACAAACAAAUCCCAGAUUUAAGUGUUCUUUGGGAUAAAAAGAAAAAACAAAAAAUAAUAUCAUUUAAUGUUCAACAAGCAUGGCGGUAAAUAAAAACGAGUGUAGUGAAAUCCAUCACCACCACCCACAUGCUCUCUUUUCUCAUAAAUCUUGUUUCAUAACUCGUCAAGGCGAAGAAACUACACAUCGCCAGCAAUUGCUCCGAAAAAAAUAAAUUAAAAAAAAAAUAAAAAAAAAAAAAUAUAUAUAUAUAUAUAUAUAUCACUCUUUGAUCUAAUUUUUUAUAUUCUCCCUUCUAUAUACUAUACAAGACAUUUUUCUUAUUCUCUCUUCCGUCUCUCUUUCUUUUCUUUAUCUUUCUUCCUUUCUUCAUAUCUUUAUCUCUCUCUUUUCCUAUCCGUGAGUCUUUCUAUUUCUCUGACUUUCGCUAUAACCUAAUUUUCUAAUUUUCUUUCAAUUUUCUUAAUCGUCUUCUUUUCAAUCUAUAUAUACUUUUCUCCUUCGCCUCUGUGUAUAUGUGUGUGUGUGAGAGAGAUUCAAAUACCAUACACCAACUAACAUUCGCCAACAACGUUCAAAAUGAUCCAUUGUCAGCAAAAAUUCUUAGGAACGAACUGUAAACGAGUUUGAGCCUUUUUUUUGGGCUUUGCAAAGAGUUGCGAAAACUUUCAGAAAUUAAAAUUUAUUUUGAUUUAAAAUUUUAAAAAAAUGUACAUAUAUAUAUGUACUACUUAUGUACUGCUCUAAAUCUCAUUGCAUGAGAACUAGUUUUAGUAAUUUUAAAACAAAAGCAAAAAAAAGAAUUAUGUAAGGUACUCUUUCGUCCUUUUGUGCCUACCGAGCUAGAGGGCAAACUGUACUAGCCAUGUACAUCGACCAAUUCUAGAACUGUAAACGCGGAGACGCAAAAGGUAUACUUUACGAUAUCUGGAGCUUUCUCGACGAAUCCUCAGAUCCAUGCAUGUCCACCAUAUUUGAAAUUUGUUUCAUAAAAUGUUUAAUUCUCAAUUAUGGGAGAUGGGCAUUUUUGUUUGCUACUCAAAAAUUACUCUACCAGAUAUUGGGCUCAGAUGACGAUUCCUUGCAAUUAUUUUCUAAUACCAAGCAGCCGUAUGUGUUUAUAACAAAAACUGACAAACAAACACCAUUUGUUUCAUAUCAAAGAUUUCCACAAGUUUUAUAACAAAUUGUUUAGAAAAAAGACAUGACGACUGUAUUCGUAUUAAUUAAAAAAUUAAUUAAUCCCAUUUAGACCAAUUCUCUGCUUUAGUUUUCUUAGCUCCCCCGAGUGCAAAGAGAGCAAUUAAGUAAUUCUUACGUAAGACUUCUAUAAGUGGAAUAGGUGCGCAUACCUGCUGCAGUCACUCUCACUUCUAAAUUCUUUACUCUAAGCUCUGUACUAAGUUACGUGCAAAUUGGCUCGUUUAAGCAAUCCUUCAUGCGUAAUACAGUUUCCAGGCGGCACAUAGCUGCACUAUUAAUUCUUGAUAUUAAGCAAGUUUUGUAUUUACUAUAUAUUAUAAUGAACGUGACAUUGUAAUUUCGUAACCAAUCGUAUUUCUUAUUGUUUGACAAUUGAGGUUAUGUGCAAUACUAUAAUAGGCAAUCACUUCGAUUAUGCUGAAUUUCUUAUUUCCGGAUGGCAACUGGUCACUGGCGUAAAGACAAAGACCAGACGCAGUAUUUGCAAUUGAAACGGAUUCGAUUGUUAUCGGCGUUUCAUAGAAAAAGGAACAUGCAAGGCCGAUAUACGAUUUGAUACGAUUAUAAUGACUUUAACGGAUUAAGGGCAAGUUUGUGGGCAUUUCGUUUCUCAAUAUCUCAUUCUAUUCAUUGAAUGACGAUGGAUAAAAGGCAGGAUUCAAUUAAGAUCACCAAAGUAAAUAAACUAAGUUUAACCGUCCGCGCUUUCCACACACAGCACACUCUAAAUGAACAUUUUCAUGACCAAACCAAAAUUAUUUCUCUAUGGAUCGCAAUUUAUAGAGAACUGCCUGAUAUUUGUAUAGACAUUAAUGCCCAAAAACGCUUUAACCAAUGAGUUUUGAUGCAUUCCUUAAGUGACGAAUGCAUUCAAAAUACAUGAUCCUCUGUACUCUCUUUCCUCUCUUUAAUCUCUUCUUCGUCCCACAAUACCAUAUAAAAAUCGUCAGUUAGAAUGACUCGAACGUGAUUCGGGUGCAAGUAGCACUUCAUUCAGCAAAAAUUCCUAAAUCUAUAUAUUAAGUAAAUAAAAUCAGUUCAUAUAAAAAUUAGUUAACAAAUCUUACAUUUAUCUAAGUUAAAGAAUACAGAGUAAUAUAUACAUAUAUAUAACGUAGUUCGUUUAUUGCUUUCUCUAACAACCAUAUUUCUUAAAAAAAAAACAAAAAAAAAAAAACAAUCUCUUCUCUUCGUCUUUGCACUACUCCCUUCCUCUUUUUAAAAGUGUUAUAAUUUAUUUUCGCUUUCAUAGCUUCCCAUCUCUGGAAGACACUUAGAACAUAACCUCAAUUGUGUGUUUUUGGUUUCUAUAAAUAUUAUAUACAAAAUAAUUUUAUUAUUGAAUUGAAUUUAAUAACAGCAACAAUAAUAUAUACAAAAAUUUAAAAAAAUAUAUAUAAAAUGAAAAAAAACUUAAAAACAAUACUUAAAACGCAAACCAACCGAAUUAAAUAUAAUAAAUCAAGCCAAAUUCUAAAUAAUAUUUUUAAAUGUUAUAUAGAAAAACUUGGAAGCCCAUUUAAUGAUGGAAAUGAUAUAUAUUAUGGUAAUAAAAGUGAUUUAAACAAAGGAUUAAAGUUUAUUAAAAGAUUAUUUAAAACAAAACAAAAAAAAAAAGAACAAGAAAAACACUUUAUAGGUUUUUUGCUCUGUGUUUAAUAAAAAGCAGCUUAACUUUAUGUUAUAACAUUUUAAUUAAUCUCUUAAUAAAUUACAAUAAAUAAUUAUUUAAAAUUAUUAUUGAAAAUUGUUUUCAAAAAAAUUUGUUAUUACAAUUGUUGUUGUUUUCCAAUUUACAGAGAAGAGAAGUUUUAUCAAAACACAAAAACAAAAAAAAAACAAAAAAAUCAAUAAAUAAAUGAAUAAAA